rnacentral:lncRNA from 1 species
AAUAUUAUCAAUUGAAGAUGGAACAGUGUUGAAAUCUUUCAAUCACUUACUACACCGCAACAAGAAAAUUGAUUUCAUCGAGCAGUUCAACGAGAAGCUACUGGUCAAGCAAGAGAAUGAGAACCUCCAGAUUCUUGACGUAGGCUGUUAAUCUUUAUCUUUCUUGUUUUUGAUUUUUUUUUCCUUUUUAAUUUUAAGAAGCAUAUUAUAAUUCUUGGAGCAGGUGAGGAACUCGGAGCUGAUAGAAGUCAGUAGGACUGAUUUCAUGACCCCUUCUGCAUUCAUUUUCCUAUAUGAGAACCACCUUUUCUUAACAUUCCGGAACAGGACUGUCGCAGUUUGGAAUUUCCGGGGUGAGCCAGUCACCUCCUUUGAAGACCACCUGCUCUGGCAUCCUGAUUGUAACACUAAUAACAUUUACAUCACUAGCGACCAGGACCUGAUAAUCUCGUACUGCAAGGCUGAAAGUGAAGACGAGGGAGAAGGUAUUUAAUUUCCUUCCAUACUGAAAAAUUUUGCUGUUACUCUGCGCCUGUUUGGCUUGGCUUUUGGUGAACUUCCCUACUUUAAAAAAGCAAUCGUUUCGUGUUUGGCAAACAAAAACCAUGGACCAUCUUGUUUUGCCCGAAGCUAAAUUACGUGCUUGAAUACCAAAAGUAGAAGAUCUAAUUUGAAUCUUCUGUUUUUUCAAAUAGCUUUACCAACUGUUCUGCAGAAUCUCAGGACGCGCUAGCAGGCCAUUUUUUAAGCAAAAACAUUUGAUGUUAUGAUCUAAAAAGAAACCUUCACAGCUUCUCCUAUAGGAUCUAUCAACAUGAGCGACAUCCUCAGCGGGAAGUGUGUCGCGAAGAUCUGUCCCCGUGAUCCCUCUCUACAGAUUGCCCCUCGCAAGCGGGGCGACCCGAGCCGUUCUACCAUCAGGAGCACUAUAAGGGAAGCUCUUGAAGAUGUAACUGCACUCUUCUAUGACGAGGAUCGGAACGAAAUCUAUACGGGGAACAAGCAAGGCCUGAUCCAUGUUUGGUCAAAUUAGUAGCUAUACCUAAUAGCCGUCUGUAUAAUGUAUCUCAUUGCCAAACAUCAGCUGCAUCCCACCAUCUCCAUGUAUCAUGCUCUGCUUUAGAGCCUCUUUGUAGCAUGGGUUUCAGUUUCAAAACCUACCAUCCCGUGUUACCCUGCGGUGUUUCUAGGUGUAUUUUGUGUCAUAUCUAUGAUUAUAUCAGUAUGUAGCAACUGCAUCUUUGUUUUAGGAGAAAAGCUCUUUCUUUCCGGUUUUUUCUGUUGAUCUUUUUGUGGCAGUGUGUUUUCUCAUGGAACACAUUAUCUGUGGGAAUGAUUAGCAUCAAUUGCUAAUGUUGUUUUCUGAGUUUGAUUCUGAUUUCAUUUUCGAUCUUUUGGUCUCGACUCUAACAUUUUUGUGAGUAAAGAUUGUUUUGCAUAACAAUUAAAUUAACUUUUGCCUGUAUUUUUUUUUUUUUUUUGGUUGUUUCAGACGUUUCGAAUAGAAGCUAUAGGAAAUAAGCUAGAUUGUUGAAAUUUGAAACACUGAACUACUGGAGACUAAAUUUAAUCACGAUCAAUCUUCUGUGGUCUAAAGAGUAUCACUGCAACCAAAAUUAAUGUUAAACUUCAAAGGUCAAAUUCGGCAACUAAAUGCAAGAUUAUCACAAGAAAUGAUGAUUUCUGCGUUUUGCAUAGUUUCAACUAAGACGUUGCGGUUGAGGACGGUUGUGUUAUUUGAUAAUUUUUUAUCAUUAAAAUUUGAAAAUCUGAGAGGAAAAUUAAAAUUCUGAGUGAAACUUACAGAUAUCAGAUUGUUAAUAUUGGAACACUGGAAACUAAUCUGGAUCAUGAUUCUUCAUUCCUUCAACUAUUAUCGAGACCAAAAUUGCGGAACCGAAGUUGGCAUCAAAACUCUAAUACAGGACGAGAUUUCCAAGCAACUGCAAGAUUAUUUACAAGAAUUGGCCCUGCUCAGUUGAAUGCCCCCGAUUCAGGAGCGGGGUCAGAGGAGAACUCUGAUUUUUUAGGCUCCCUCUCUGCAGUCUGACUCGGCUGUACAGUUUGGCGCCGUGCAGCUCCGUCCGCAGGGCCGUCUUGGUCGCCGGGCCCGCAGUCGGCCCCAAGAUCCUCCUCUGUUUUGCUGCUGUCAUCUUCUGCCGCUGCUGCGUUGGCAACGGAAGCGGCGAACCCAGACCACGCCUGCUCGAGCCUGGCUAGAGCCUGCACCAGCUCGUCCGACCCCCUGCCCGUCAGCUCCUUCAUCUGCGCCUCGAAUCCCCGCAAUUUCCGAGCCAGCUCCGCCACCGGCCCCGCGGUCUCUGUCACGGCCUCGUCCAGCUCCCACAGCUCCCACACAUCUUCCGCAUCAGAAGCCGGGCCGAGGAGUUUGUCGAGCCGUUUGAAGAAGAUCCAAGAAGAUAACCCCGCGGCCUUUUCUCUUUCGUACCUGGUUUUCACCUUUCUGAUCCGAUUCUUGCAGCUUUCGACGGUCCAGCGCCCCUGGUCGCGGCUGUUGACGGCAGCGGCGAUCUCCCACCAAUCUUCCUCGCUGAGAUUGCCACGGUCGCGCUGCUCGUACUUAUCGGCCCACGCUUUGAUCACGGCCCGUGUCGCGCCAACGCUGGCGCUGCGGAAACAGCGCCGGGCUGAGGACAAGGGCUUGUACUUCUUGCCAGAGACCCGAUCAUCCUUCGCCAUGAGAGUGAGGAAGGGGUGUUGGUAAACAGAGAGAGAGAGAGAGAGAGAGAGAGAGAGAGAGACAGAGAGAGAGUGAGUAACUGCUUGAAUUUGAAGCGUUUCGCGGUGGUUUUGUAUGGGGGGAAAUUGCACCGCUAGUCCCUGAACUUUUUAUCUCUGAUGUUGUUUUGGUCCUCAAACUUCUGAGUUAGAUGUUAGUGGUCCCUAAACUUUUUUUAAAGUUUGAUUUUAACGCUUGAAUGUAUUUGUAACUAGAGAAUAAAUUAUUACCUGUGCCUAGUGCAUGCUUAUUUAUGUAUAUUAUAUAUCGUAUAUUACAAUCCCACUGUCUAUUGAGUUUUUUUUUUUUUUUUUGCUAUGUAAAAAUUGGGCAUCUAAAUUUAAAGUAUGAGAUAAAUGAAGAAAAAGAUAAAUUUGUAAUUUAUGAACAAAAAGUUAAGAGCAAUACUAUCAGGACACUCCAAACACCAUACAUCUACUUCAUCCAAGAGUUAUUAUUUCUUACUUAUCACAUCAAUUAAUUUUUUUUUUUUUGAGAGAUAGGUAGUACGCUACCCGCUUCGUUUAUUUCAUUUAGACAUAAACUUAGCUAGAAAUGUGAAUCAACUAGGAUUCGAACUUGGGUCUCGAGCACCAACCACCAAGCACUUUGCCACUUGCUCUAAGGACGGUCGGUAUCACAUCAAUUAUUAUUAUUAAUUAUUAUUAUUAUUAUUAUUAUUUACUAAAUUAUUUGGACUUUUAUGAACUUUAGCCUCUAGGAUAGAAAGUGUAAGAUCUACACCUAUUGUCACGUUCGAGUCCAACCAAAUUGACUUGCUGGGUAUAUGUAACAGACUUGUCAAACGAGCAAGAUUCCUUUACCGGCACGAGACGUAAAUAUAUAACAACCUGUACAAUGCAUAAAUGAUAUGGGUACAAUAGAGUAUUGGAGUAAAUUAAUUACUUCUAAAUUAAAAGCAUUACAGUGACUUCUUUAAAGUUUACAAUAUAUUAUUUUUCAAAAUUAAUUUUGUUUAAACAAAAAGGUACUUUCACUAGACCUAACCGUGGAUGAUCUCGCUAACUCGUAGUGCUCUUGCCGUGAUCCCACAUCUCACGAUUGCUAGAAGGCUCUGAAAAAAAUGUUAGUAACAGUGAGGUGAAUUGAAAUAAAAUUUUAGCGGAUGAAACUGCCGAAAGUGGUGCUCAAUCCAAAGGAGGUACUAGUAGAAUAAUAAUAGUAAAUAAAAAACUAUUUUUAUAAUAAAAAUACAAGUAAAACAAGUGCAAUUACUAUGCCUUAAAUAUAUACAACUAGUUUAGGACCCGCGCUUCGCGGCGGAUCGAUAGUAUUUCAGUCAAUCGGCAGAUAUAAUUAUUAAAAUUUUAAAAUUAAAAAAUUAUAGCCUUCUAUACAUUAUAAAGCUAAUCUUUUUUUAUUAAUAUUUUUUAACUUUCAGUAUUUGUAGAGUUAAAAUAUUCUAAUAACUUCACCUAAAAAUUCAAUUAAACUUAGUAGUUUUAGUAGUUAUUUUAUAAAUUAAUUUUUUAAUUAAAAUUUAAGGAUUUAUUCUAAAUUGCAAAUAUAUAAUGUUAUCCUUAUCUAGUUAACAUUGAUUGGAAAAAGAAGAAAUUAUUAUAUGCACCUAGUGUAUAUUAACACACCAUACACCACAACUUAUAUUAAAAACUAAUUUUUGAUAUCAAAACUUAAUUAAAUAUAUUUGAAUUAUAAAGUCUAAUAAUUUAAAUAUAUUUACUGAAUUAAAUUUUAAAAUCUCUAUUAAAUGUUUUAAGUAUGUGGUGUAUGUUGUAAUAUAUAUCCAGUAUAGAGAAUGCUUGACAGAGUAUAUUUAUAAUUGCAAAAAAAUAGGAGAAAUCUUUAGUUGCACCUGAUAUAUACUAAUAUUUCAUACACCAUAAAAGUAUAUUAAAUGAUUGAUAGAAUAUCUAAUAAUUAGUAUUAAAGAUUUUUAUGAUGUGAUGGAACUGCCAAAUUAUAUAUCUUGUAGAUUAUAUAUUAAAAAAGAGUUUGAUGUAUGCAAUAUUUUAAUAGAUCGGGUGGAUGUAAUAUUGUUGAAGUAGAGGAGGGAGAGGAAAGAAAACACAUGUCGCUCUGAGAGCUUUUAAUAUGACCCAACUAUCAAAUUAUAUAUCUAUAGAAGAUAUGCCAUAAUGAUAUAGUAUGUCAUUGGUUUAUAUGUUUACCCUAAACUAUUUCUUAUCUCUAACCAAUCAUUUGGUUCGGUUUGACUUCUCGUUUAGCAUUUUACGAAGAGUCGAAAAUAAUCAGCAUCUCUCUAAUCGGUAGGCACUUGAAGUCGAACGAAAUCAAUAUCUCCAAGUACAAUAAGGAGUCAAGAGGAAUUAGCAUUUCCCAAUAUGGAGUAGGGCAUCGAAGAUAAUCAGUAUCACCCAUUUUGCAACUUCCAGAAUGUCGUGGCUUGUAUCAUAGCUAAACCCUAAGUUCUCAUUAGGGUUCAUCACAAGGUUCAAUUAUACAUUUUUUUUUUUUUUUCUCUAGCUCAAGUUUAGUUUAGAGUUCAAAUAUUACUAUUUAUCACACCCUAAGUUCAAUAUCACUAUUAUUUCUCCUAUAUUCCAAUCUUCACAUGAUACUCAACAUGCACAUUAGUUAUUGUUUUUAGCAUGGAAAAUAGUUAGAAACCCUAUUUUUCCUAGGCUAAAGGCCCUUGAGCCCUCUUAACCUCCUAAACCUCAUAACAUUGAACUAAAUAUAUCUUUCUUUAUUUUUUACCCAUAAUACAUACAAAGGAAUACAAAAAAUUUUAGACAAAGAAAAGAUCAAAUGCAUCUUACAGUGAUAUUCUCCACCUUUAGUUGAAUCUUCCUUGUAGAUAAUUCUUGAUCUCUUUAAAAUUUUAAAUUUUUUUUUGAAAAAAUUCUAACCAAGUUAGAAUAAUAAAAUCUUCUAUUUGGAAAAAAAAUUCCCUAAAACCAAGCUCUAAAAAUCCCAACUAUAUAGAUGAUAUAACACAUCACUAAACUAGAUCUACUUAAAAUUGAUAACACUAUUUUCAUAAAACAAAAUAAAUAGUAUUAGCUACCAAUCAAAUUAGCACUGUUUUUUCCAAGACUGUUUCUUUCAAACUUCUAUUUUCUGUCUACCCCUCUCGACCAAGCUUUCCUUCUCCAUGCUCCUCCCGCUCUAACCUUUUAUCCUGAAUUUAGCUGGGUAGCUAGCCAAAAUCCAACUAAUAGGUUUGGCUGUUUGUUUACUUUGCUAUCAUUUUCUACAAUAUUAUCAUUACAUUUUCUACGACCUACUCUACAAUCGUCUAGAUUUUCAUCUCCUUACUUCACUCUUCACUUCAAAAUUUUCUUUUCUUUAAUCUACUCGGCAUCACUGAUUAUAUUUUUCUUUCGACCGGGAGCUUGACGGACUUGAUGAGCGGGACAUUUCGCUGUGAGUUGAAGGAUGACAGUUGGACCAGAGAUGCAGUCUGAAUGAUUAAUUUUGUCCAUCUUCUUCUCUCUAUUUUUUUUAUAUUUUGAGCUUAACAUUCAUGAGCUUAAUUGAUAAUUAGGUCGGAGAUUUUUCAAGCUUCGAGGGCUACUAUAUUUAUAUUCUCUUUUUUUUUUUUUAAGUUUUAGAAACACUUGUACUUUUUUUCCUUCUUUCCUGAUAUAAAAAUAUGCUUAUUUUAUUUUUAAAAAUUCUACAAUAAAGUAAUUAAGUCAUACUUUUUUAAUCAAAUGCCAAUGGUCUAAUGUAAAAACAAGUAGUAACACUAAUUUAAUGCAUUGGCAAUGCUCAUCCAUCUCUUCAAAUACAGAUCAUGAAAGGGGAACCCUAAAGCUGGGCUCCUCGGGCUUUGCGGGUCUCAUUCUUGUCCUUGAAAGAAAAAAAAGAAAAAAAGGGGAAACAGAGGGUGACUUUCGGGGAGUCUAAAGAUUGUGCUGUGUGGUGUGUGCUGUAUGCUUUGCCUGUUGUGUUCUAUCCUUGAAAAUGACAAAAGGGGCUUUCGCGUCCCAUCCUUUGUGUCGGUUCGCUUUUUCUUGUCUGGACUCGGUUCAUCGACUUGUUAUCUAUUAAUAAAGGAAUCUGUCUCUUUUUUUCACCCUCUCUCCUUUUCUUCCACCUUACUAAACCAUAAAUCCAAUUAUCAUCCCUGCCUUUUUCUCUCACAAACCCUAAACCUAAUUGUAUAAGUUUUUAGACCACUGGUAAUAAUAAAUUCUAUAUGAUUGAGAGAAGUGCUACUUAUACACCUGAACCUAAAAAAAAGGGGAGUAAAUCCCACACGAUCCCUUCUUCUCUUUGCUCUAAAAUCGCAUGGCCCGUGUCGCCUCCUCGAGCGUGCCCGAGAAGUUCCGCAACUUCCAGCUCCAGGUCCGUGCUCCCGCGCCCUCCAUUUCGCCGUAAUUUGAGUUCCUGUUCAUUCGAUUUCUUGUUGUUUGGUUCGAAUCGUCGAAGAUCGUGUGCUUGGGGCUCCGGAUUCGGUAGGGUUUGGCGUAUGAUGAGUUUUGUAGAUUUGUGGCUAUGGUUUUAUGAAGAUCGGCAUCUAUGGCUUACGAUAUGAUUAUGUUUAAUUUGGACUCUUGCAUUUAGCUUGUUCGUUAGGUGAAAGUCGAAUCUUUCGAUGUAGAGCAAAAUGAAUGGUUUUUAGUUAGGGUUACAGGUUCGUAUUCGAACUGUGUAUCGAUUUGGUGGAUAAGUUAGGGUUUUCAUCUAAUCAUAUUUGCAUGGUAAGAUGGGUUUACAGUCAUUGUAAGAUUUGGUGUGGUACCGAACUCUGUCGGUAGAUUGAUGAUAAAUUUAGGGCAAAGAUACUGGCAAGAUGAGCCCAGUAGAGGCUUCUUAAUAAUUCAUCAGACUGGAUAAUUGAAGGACUUUUUUUUCACAGUAACCCUAUUAAAAUUUCUCAUUUGCCAAAUAAUUCUUUUAAAAUUUUAUUUGGCCAACUAACCUGAGAAACAGUGAAUUAUUCACCUCUUUCAGAAAGUAGUGAAUGAUUCGCCGUUUUCAUAUUGUUAUUUUUUUUUUUUUAUAAGUUGUGAUUGUUAAGAUUGUAUGAGGAUUAUUAAAUUUUAUUUAUAGUUAAAAUUAUAUGGAUAGAUUGUUAGGAUAUUUUAAGUUGUUAGAAUUAUAUGUGAUUUGUGGUUGUUAAUAUUAUAUAUGGGCAUAGAAAAAAAGGAUAAAUCAUUCACGGUGAAUCAUUUACUGGAAUCAUUUACUAUCUCUAAUAGAAAAAAGAAGACGGUGAAUAAUUUACCGCCUUCUAAAUUUCAUUAAAGGCGGUAAAUGAUGGACCGUCUUUCAAUACCCGACAGUGAGUUGUUAAAAUAGGGUUAUUUGAACAAAUAAUUUUUUACAAGGUUAUUUGGCCAAUUAUAAAUUUUUAAAGGGUUAAAAUAAAAAAAAUCCAUAACUGACAGGGACUUCGUAUUGCACAGUGAAGCAUCUUCUUUUUUUUUUUUUUACCUAUGUGGUUGCAAAGACUGAUAAUGAUCUAUCAUCACUUUCGUAUCUUUGGUCAUGAAGGUUUCGUUUUAAUCUGACUGUCAUUAAAAGAUGCUAUCCAGAAUUACCUGUAGGAAUUUUCCUUCAAAAGUAAAUGUUAUUUAAAUAUGCAAACCGGUAAAAGAUCUUGACAACUGCAUUGGUUCUAGCAUUUGUUCUUGCAAUGCAUGAUUCAUCUCUGUAAGGCACCCUCAAAAGUUGUGAAACAUAGCUGUCGAGAACGUCAAGAUAUGGCAUUGACCUGUUCCUUUUGCUAUUCCAGCCGGCUUUGGAAGAUGAUGACCGAGAAAAAUUGGUAUAAAAUGGAAAAAAAGAAGGAAGUUUAUGAUUGUGAUAAUUUUCUGGUGGUUCAGCAAUUGCCAUGAUUCAUAAAAGUAUUUAUAAGUAUCCUUUUAUGAUUUGCAAAGCUGCUGUGUGAGAUAAAGAAUUGAUGCAGAGUUAUUAUGAGAACCACAAUUUUAUAGGGAAUAAAAACAAAGCUGCCUAUGAGAUGGCAAUACCUGGAUAUAACCAUGUGCUAACUUUCUUGGUUCAAAAUGGUAUGACAGUUCAAUCUUCAGGAAGUUCUGUAUAUUCAUAGUUAUUAUAUUUUAUUAAUCAAUGCAUAUCUGACAAUGUAGACUUAUUAGACUGUCAUGAUACAUUAAUUUCUAGAUCAACUAGGUCCAGGAAAUUCUGAAACUUUUUUUUUUUUUCCUUAGUUCAAAAGCUGUCAACCUUUUUGAAAUCAUCCUAAACUUUUAAUUUUGAUAUUUCAAAAUUCCGUCAUUUAUUAUAUCUUGCUGCUCUAGGAUGUGAGCUUCACAAUUCGUUCAUUGGGUUCACUUUAAAUCCAGAAUUACAGUCUUUUAGUUUGAAUAUACGAUUUUGAAACUUUUUCUUCUGUACCUUAGAAAACUUAGGUUUAACUACUCGUGUUUGUCAGGUUGAACUAUUGGAUCGUUAAGUUUUUGUAUUCUUCACUUUCUUUUGUCUUAGAUUGUCAAGCUUCAUCUCCUUAUCAUCACCCCGUUUGAGCUUUCUUCAUUCACGGUUAGCAUGUCAUGUCAUCUUACAUUGUUUUGACAUUAUGGAUACGUAACAGAGAUUAUGUUUCUUUUCACUUUAUGUUUAAAUUAGAUAGCAUGAAAAUUCCCAAGUUCACCAUAGAUUGCAUAUAUUGGUCAGUGUUAUUAUACCCUGUUAAUUUCGAGGAUUAUACUGUAGUAGUAUUAAACAAAGAAUAGUUUCUCCGUUAAUUGCUUUAGAGAGAUGUUUUAAUGAAGACUGACCUUGUUUGCUUUAGAGUUGGUGUAUUUAUUUCUCAAUGCUCUAUAUUCAAUAUCUCUGGAUUAGGAUAACUAUCGAGUCUGUGUAUUAUGAUUGGCUGCUCGGCAGCCUCCUGGCUGUCUCUUUUUUUUUUUCAAAAAAAAAACUCUCACUAGAUGGAAUAAAUUUUAACAUAAGCAUGCAUUCCUGUCAGUGUUAUUGCUGCAAUUUGUGCUACUAUCUUAUGCAAACCGAAAGGUUGCCAAAAUUGAAUUUUCAAGUUUGCUUUUGUUUAAAAGUAUUUCUUGAAAUAAAUAAGGUUUAAUUUAUCGAUUCCGACGAACUUUACUAUAAUUAAAGCAAUGAAGCAAAAAUUUCAACCAGACAAAAAUUAAAUUCGAAUUGAAGAAAUACUAAGAUGAUGAUGAACUUCAAUAUAUGAGAUAAUAACAAUCAACUGAAAGCAUAUAUAAUAGUUCCAAAAGGUAAAUUCAGCUUUAUCAAACUUAAAGCUUUUAGAUUUGGUUGUUUGACAAAUAUGGUUGGUAAUGGUGGAAGGCUAGAUUGAAAGGGAAUAAUAGGAUAUUAGGAGAUGAGAGAUACAAAAAGUGCACUGUUCACAUGAUUGCGGGGGAUCCACGAUCGACGAGGAGAGCGGUACACUAAAGGUAGAACUUUGGUCACGGGAAAGAAGAAGAUGAGGUAGUGACUCGAAAGAAGAGGAGGGGUAGAAGUAGAAGUUGAUCUUGUCAUGAGGAAAAAGCGACAACGAACAAAUUGAGGAAAAAGACGAUCUCAGCACGAGGAAGAAGCGUUGAUGAUCUCAUCGGGAAGUAGAACACCAAGGAUAAAUAGUAAAAGUAUAAUUUUCUAUUCAUCAAAAUAUAUUCCUUAAGGCUUCAAAAACCAAGUAUUUAUAGUGUUGAGAGCCCUCCUAUAAUAAAUUACUGUCCUUUCGUUUUCAACAUAACGGUCACUCAAGGGUCAUGUAUAGAAGACGAAGCAAUUUUGGGAAUUCAAAGGUCUUUUUUGGAAUAGUUUUUUUGUUUAUUGGAGAAAAGGGUUUGGAUUAGCUAAACCAACUAAAACUAAAUGAGUUAAGUCCAAAUCAAACAUAAACCUACAAAAUAAAAGAAAAUUGCAUUCGAAAAUAAACUGUGAUUUAUAUGCUGCAUCACUAUCUACAUCACUUUUUAUCUCAGUUCUUGGUUUGAGAUUGAGUUAUUUCUAGUUAAAGUUCAAUUAUGAAGUGUCUUAUCCAUAUAGUUAAAUUUUGUUAAGGAUGAAUUCAGUGCAGUUCAUAUUUGGGUAAUUUUUAAAUUUAGGGUUGUGGAAGUCAUAUUUGCUCAUAUAGUUAUAUUUAUACGUUAAUGCAUUGCUCCUCUUAGAAAUGCUGAAAUUAAAGCAUGGUCUGAUUCUCUUCUACAAAAUGGAUCAUGCUUUUGUCAUUCAUGUACCUUCAUCAUAAUUUUACAUAUCUUCUAUGAUACAGUUCUGAUUACAACAAUGUUUAGUAAAUUCUUUUAAUAUGAUUUUGUGUUGUUUAAUGCAGGAGGAAUUUGACAUUUAUGAUGACAAUUUCAAUUGGUUUCUCAAAUUACAAUUUCUGAAAAAGAGGUCCAAGAUCAUUGAGAUUGUUGCAGCAAAGGAUGUUAUAUUUGCUUUAGCACAAUCUGGUCUCUGUGCUGCUUUUAGCCGGAGUAAGUCUGAUGCUUUUCUAGUUUCCUGUUGACUCUUUUGUUUAUUCUAGUUCUAAUUCGGAUUUUUUUCUUUUUGUUGAUAGCAACAAAUAAGCGUAUAUGCUUCUUGAACAUAAGCCCCGAUGAAGUGAUCAGGAGCUUAUUUUAUAAUAAGAAUAAUGACUCUCUCAUCACGGUUUCCGUUUAUGCGUCAGACAGUUUCAGUUCCUUGAAAUGCCGGACCACUCCAAUAGAGUAAGAAAUGUACUUCCAUGUGAACGCUGAAGUUUUCAAGCAAACUUAAUUCUUCUUGUGUAUAGUUCACACAAUAAUGUACAUAUGUGCACAUACAUUUAUCUACACAAUGUGUGUGUAAAGGUUCUGAUAAGUCCUAAACAACUGAAGAUACAUGUUGACUUUCUUACCUUAAUUAUUAGCUUGUAGUGUGUGAUUUUAGGGUCAACCUUUGCAUGGUUUUCUUGGUAACUAUGGAAAUUGUACCAUGACAAACGUUUCUAUGUUGCUAAUACCUAAAUCCAUAAACUUAAGUUUUUCCUUUCUAAUUCAGUUCCGUGCAGUUCUUACUAUGACUAAUUUUUUGGACUCUGCCAGAUAUAUCAGAAGAAACCAGCUAGAUGCUGGUUAUUCUCUCUUUGAGACCGAAUCAUUAAAAUGGCCUGGUUUUGUUGAGUUUGAUGAUGUCAAUGGCAAAGUUCUUACAUAUUCAGCACAGGAUGGGUAAGUCACCCUCUUGAUGCUUUUCUCUUUACAAACCCUAAUCCAUCUGAUUUAUUUUUUUGCUUACAGUGCUUACAAAUUGUUUGGCAUGCUUACAGUAGUUACAAAGUGUUUGACCUGAAGAACUAUAACUUCUUGUACUCCAUGUCGGAGAAGAAUAUUCAGGACAUCAAAAUAAGGUUUGGUUCCCUUCUUCAUUAAACAUGCAUGUAGAUUAUUUUAUGCAUCUGAAUCUUUUCUUUUCAUAAUCUGAUAUUCGAAAAUCAUGCAUUUGAACAGCCCAGGCAUCAUGCUGUUAGUAUACUCGAGAACUCCUGGCUAUGUUCCACUCAAAAUAUUAUCAAUUGAAGAUGGAACAGUGCUGAAAUCUUUCAAUCACUUACUUCACCGCAACAAGAAAAUUGAUUUCAUCGAGCAGUUCAACGAGAAACUAUUGGUCAAGCAAGAGAAUGAGAACCUCCAGAUUCUCGACGUGGGCUGUUAAUCUUUAUCUUUCUUGUUCUUGAUUUUUUUUCUUUUUAAAUUUAAGAAGCAUAUUAUAAUUCUUGGAGCAGGUGAGGAACUCAGAG